rnacentral:rRNA from 1 species
UACGGAGGGGACUAGCGUUGUUCGGAAUUACUGGGCGUAAAGCGCACGUAGGCGGUUUUGUAAGUCAGGGGUGAAAUCCCGGGGCUCAACCUCGGAACUGCCUUUGAUACUGCAAAACUCGAGUCCGGAAGAGGUGAGUGGAAUUCCUAGUGUAGAGGUGAAAUUCGUAGAUAUUAGGAAGAACACCAGUGGCGAAGGCGGCUCACUGGUCCGGUACUGACGCUGAGGUGCGAAAGCGUGGGGAGCAAACAGG